UGGUAGUGUGUAGAAAACAAUAUCAAUUUGUGCAUAAGCAACACCAAAAAGGAAUAUUCCGCUAGUUAUUCGAUUUGUUGAAAUAUAUCACAAAAGAAAAACGUCAAAAAGAAAAAUAGAUCCCACUUCAACUGUAUUUUUUUUUCUCUUUGAGUUGAUUAUACUAAUUACAAAAGCAUACUUUAUAGUACAAAAAAGCAUGUAUCAUCACUUCGCAAUAACGUUUUCUCAAGUUUCACUACUCUAGUCACAUGAAUUUUCUAUAAAACCCUCUUCCUGUAUGUUCCACAACUUAUCAUCGGCAUCUAUUAGUAUUACCCGGAAGCAUGGCUAACAAUAAGAGCAAAGAAGGGCCAAUAUCUGAAAACGAAGAUCUUCAGCUGUUUAAGGGAACACCCAUAGCUACUAGCUGUACGGUAUAGUAAGAAGAGUUGGUGAACAUGUUGGGACGAGAAGAGAGAUCGAGAUUUUGACCAACUUGAAAACGUAUGGUUAACGGCAACCACAAUGGACAAGACUUGAACAUUAUGUAUCUUUCUCUCUGACCGGGCAACUUCGGAACCUUUGGCAAUGUUUCUCUUGAUUUUAAUUUUAAAUUUUUACUGUUGAUUUAUCUAUUUGUAGUAAUUCUUCUUGUUAUAUCGGUUGAAUGGAACACAUACUUCGCACCAA